UUUUUUUUUUUUUUUUUUUGACAACAGGAUGCUGCAUUCUAAAACUUUCAGAGUUUUAGACUAUCUAUGACAUGCUGUUCUCUCCAUCAGCAUAGGGUAGAGGUCAAGGCCUUAUUUGCCCGUGUAUUCUGCAUGCCACUGGGCUUUGAAAUGUGAAAAAGGAAAAAAGAAAAAAAAAAAAAGCAAAGCAAACCCCAGUGGCAUAGUCAGUUCCGUUUGUUUUGUUUUUGACAAGCAAGACUUCCCGCUUGUUUUUAACGUUGAGUUGAGAGCGGUUUUGUUUUUUUUAAACAAAUCAUGGAGCUGAAGCAUUUUUAGGAUUGUCGGUGCUUAGUAGACUUGAUGACUAUUUUAAAACUGCGUGAAUUUAGUGAAAAAUCUUUUUUUCUCACUCUGCAUGUGUAAGUGUUUGUAGCCUGGCCCCUCCUCCAGGGCAGAAAGACCUGUGCCGACUAAAGGUUUGGGUUUCUUUUCCUCCAGUAAAAAUCUUGGUACCUUAUUUGAUGUUUACAUUAAGAUAUGACAUUACACAUGGCAAUGCUAAGAUUUUUUUCUAAUUGUUUUUUUGAGGGACAUCAUUAAAGAAAAAAAAACAUUAUCAAAAAACUGAUCAAAAUCUAGGGUAUGUUUCAGAUCUUUUGAGUCUUCAGAAACCCCCCCUUGGACUCAUUAGAAAUACGGAAUGUAAGCAAGCGUGUGCAGAGGUCCGCGGCCUGCCAGUUGUUUUGAAUGAUCAUUGAAGGAAGAGGCUGUUCUCUUCAUGUGUUCUUUAACACAUCAGAAACAAUGAAUGUCCUUUGUCAUUUCCUGAUCCCGUAAUUCUAAUUUUACAUUUCUGAGAAAUCUUGAGACUACAAUGUAUCUCUCCCCCUUCCCCCCUUUUUUAAACUAAGAUGAGUCCAGGGGAUAUUUCAAAAGAGCCAGACUUUCUUGACGAUCGCUCAAGAGUAGCUUUCUGGAAGACUUUCCAUAGAACGUUUUAAGAUGAGUUGAAAGUGGCAAGGAGCCAGCAGACUUAGUCCGUGUGACUAGAGAUUAGCUUAUGCCGGCUCUCCACGGCCCCCUAUAACCCCACACAGUGUGGGAUUGAAGGCUGCGUUGGUUAAGAGGUAGUAAACUCCGAGACCGAUGAUACAGCCUCUCAGAUUCAGUUCUGCCUUCGUGCUAGCGGAACCUGGCCUCCUGUCUCCGGCUGUAAGCUUCUUCUGAGCUGCCAGAUGUGGACCGGCAGACUAAAGGCUGUGUUCACGGAUAGUACAGGUCACGGCAUGGACAGGCAUCCAGUGAGCCAUGACAUCAGCACAUGCUGGCAUGUUACAUGACAUCAGCACAUGCUGGCAUGUUUCAGGCAGAAUGAGACAACUUUGCCACUGGGCUCUGUUUUCUAAUUCCAUGCCCAGGCGAGAAAUGGAACUCACCUGUGAUAUGCUAUCCAUGUCCCAUCAGUGUUAGCUCCCAUGCCCACACAUGCAGACACACAGGACAGCAGGACAUGCCGGGCAAGAGUUCAGAGAGCCAUUCUGCUAAUUCAGACAGAACUAUUCUGUCAGCUUUUGGGUCACUUCUCACCAGGAGGUCAUUGCCUACUUUCUGUUUUUCAUACUUGAACCUUAAAAAAAUAUCAGUUUUUUAAAUUAUUUAUAUAUAGUUAAAGUCGCGUGUGCACCCUAUCAUCUUAUAUAGAACACUGACGGUGGGACCGUCUGGAUAAGGAACCCGUCAGGUUGCAGUGACAUUCUCAACGUGGUUAUGUCUAGGAAAUGACACUAGCUACUUUCUACUUGACCGCUCUGUUGCGAAUGUCAGAGCGUCCCCAUCUCUUUCUUGUUUCUGCAGCUAGGUUGAGGGUUUAUUUCUGUGUCUUGGCGUUAUUUUCUCCCAGCUCCCCCACACCCAGC
ensembl:lncRNA